rnacentral:lncRNA from 1 species
CACAGGUGCGCCCCGCUCGCUCCGCCUGUUCGUGGGACGUCAGAUUCUCGACAGAAAACUGCGGAAGCAAUGCGUGGAAAAACUAUUUUAGGCUAUCAGCGUUUCAUUCCACCUGUUGCGAUUUCUUUAUGACGAUUCCUCUUCCUGGUAAUCGAAGUAAAGCAACUGAGGAAAUUGAAGGAAGCAUGUGUAUCUGCCUCUGAAACACAAUGGGAACUCCCUGCCUCCUGUGGGACACCAGAGAACAAACUGCUCACUGCCAAAAGUGUAGCUACAAAAACGACAACAACAGAAUUGAGGUCAAUAGGGAUAAAGGCAUGGUAGCCCUGCUGAUCCUGCUAUAGCUUGAUAGAACAAGUAGAUGAACAGUAGUAGACUCUCAGGUGGAAUUGGAUUUGCGUCGCUGUGUGUAAUGGGGGAGUGUAUGUUGAACCGUUAUGGUGAAGAUGGUUUUCAGAGUUGUGAAGGCUUUGACGAUUGGUCCACGUUCAGCUCUGCGGACUGGACAGAGCCUCAGCAAGAUGGCAGUGGGUUUUCAGACUGGGGUGCAUUCCAGGACAAUACCAGCAAAGAGGAAUCAACAACACUACCUGUGGCAGAAGCAUGGACUUCCAAGUUUCCUGAAAACGUUGAGGGGGCAGAGAAAGACCCUGUCGUGAUGGAAAUCCUUACAUUGUGUGUGCUACAGCAGAGCACAUUAGACAAGCCCUCUCAGUAUGCAGCAAUAUCAAGCAAAGCUGCAAAUUUCUGGUGUCGUCUACAGUCUGGGUCCAAAAUUCUCAGACUAUCAGGUCCCAAACCCAAACUACACUCCCAUGAAGGACUGCUCAAAGCCCUCCAGCUCGGACAGCCUGACGCAAGCGCUGACUCACAGACCACUACUCUUCUUAAUCUUGAACUAGAAGAUCCAGAAGACCCUCCUGGAGCACUUAUUCAAACCAAGCUGAUGCCAUCAUCACAAUGUCGGAACGCACCAGGAUUCUUUUAUCAGAUCUCACGCCAGUGGCUCAGCCAGCACAACAUGAACCUCCUGCCCUUCCAGAACAAGAACGAUCCUCUGCAAUAAUCAACAUCACAUGCACGCACACUAUUACAGUUGCACCGACACACACUACUUCAGAAAAUUGAACCUUUAAACAAAGUACACACUACUGCCUGCAUUCAUUAAUGUGUACAGAAACAAGCACAGGUAAAGUUUUCCAAGCACUUUUUAUAAAUAAAGCCUGUUAAAAAGUGUGCUUGACAAAAGUACCACUACUGUAUGCACACUAGCUCAGGAGGAAUUCCUAAGUUACUUGAUGAACACACUUUGCCACAGAUUAAACAUAAAAAGGAGUCUUUUCACAUAAGCAACAGAAGAGAACUAACAAGUGCCUAAAAAAACAAAAUCACUGUAAACCUCAAGUACAGGAAGUUAACGCAGCCAUUUACUUAUUUAUAUAUUCCACUGUCUGCUGCUGCUGCCUAAGCUCAUGGCUUACUGUUCGAACUGACAUCUGAAAAUUAAAUGUAUUUGGUAUAUUUAUAUAGGAAAUAUUUAACAUUUUAAAGAUGAAUAUACAGUUAUAUUAGUUGGUGCCCUGCACUUUAGAGCAGUUUGUCUUUUUAAUAAAAAGAGAAGUUUAAAGCUCUUCAACAG